UUAUACGGAUUUAUUGGGUUUAAAGGGUGCGUAGGUGGUAAUUUAAGUCAGCGGUGAAAGUUUGUGGCUCAACCAUAAAAUUGCCGUUGAAACUGGGUUACUUGAGUGUGUUUGAGGUAGGCGGAAUGCGUGGUGUAGCGGUGAAAUGCAUAGAUAUCACGCAGAACUCCAAUUGCGAAGGCAGCUUACUAAACCAUAACUGACACUGAAGCACGAAAGCGUGGGUAUCAAACAGGAUUAGAUACCCUGGUAGUCCACGCAGUAAACGAUGAUUACUAGGAGUUUGCGAUACACAGUAAGCUCUACAGCGAAAGCGUUAAGUAAUCCACCUGGGGAGUACGCCGGCAACGGUGAAACUCAAAGGAAUUGACGGGGGCCCGCACAGGCGGAGGAACAUGUGGUUUAA
rnacentral:rRNA from 1 species